rnacentral:lncRNA from 1 species
AUUUUCCGUCGGAAAGCUUCAAGCAAAACUCAAUGAGGUCAGUUCACAUCGACUUUUACUUUGAACGAAAACUAUUAUCCUGCUGUUCAAAUGUGUUCUCUUCUUCCUGAGAUUUUGUACAUCAUAGGCUGAUACUGUUGAAAAUUCAAAAUCUGCACCUGUACUCAAUGGACCUACUGUCCCUUCAUCAAACGAGGAAGAACAUAAUGGGAAACUCGCUGAUGGUACUGCUGCAAAUGAAUCUUCGAUUUCUGCCUUCUUGACUCAAGUUGCAGACCUUGUCAAGUAAGACUAAGCAGUUGCGAUUUGCAUCUAUCACAUUUUUUUUUAUUUUAGAAUGAAUACCCACUUUGGUUCUUAUAAAUUUUUGUAUGUACCAAAUUGAUCCCGAGAAAAAUAAAACUUCAAACUAGUACUGAAAUAUUGCAAAUGUGAGUCAAAAUAGUAUCUAUAAGGGGUCAUAAAAAUGCUAAAAAGGUUACUAAUUUGACCCACAUUUGAUAUUUUUGGAGACUAUUGCGAGGCUUUCAAUUUUUCAGGGACCAAAUUGGUAGACACAAAUUUUGAGAGACCAAAAUAGUUAUUUACCCUUUAUUUUAUAACUAUCAUUAUAUCCAUGUUAGGACAUGAAUUAUUUCCUUUGUUUUUAUUUAAUGUUAUAUUUCCUUGGGCAGACUUGUAGAUUCCCGAGAUAUUGUGGAAUUGCAACUUAAGCAAUCAGGUUGCGAGCUCGUGAUAAGAAAACAAGAAGCUUUGCAGCCUCCACCAGCCUCGACUAUAGCACCAGCAUCACCGCCGUAUCCUUAUCCAACAUAUCAAGCUCCACCAGCACCAGCACCACCUGCUCCAGCUCCUGCCAGCCCACCACCUUCAAAAGCAGUACCCGCCUUACCUUCUCCGGGGAAAGCAAGCACAUCAUCUCACCCACCACUGAAAUGUCCAAUGGCAGGAACCUUUUAUCGGAGUCCAGCACCCAGUGAACCUCCAUUUGUCAAAGUAUGUAGCCAUGCUUGGUUUUAAUAGCACACUUCUCUGUUGAUUCUGCCAUAUUUCAAUUUUCAACUAAUCAUUCCGGCUUUUACGUAUAAACAAAACAAUGAAUGACCUAAUCACUUUGUUGAUGCUUCAGGUGGGCGACAAAGUUCAGAAAGGCCAGGUUAUUUGCAUUAUCGAGGCUAUGAAGCUGAUGAAUGAAAUCGAGGUAUAUGUAUCAUAUUUGUUUUUCCUGUUUUUUCCUAUAUUUUAUCAACCUUUCUCUUUUUACUAUGUUGUUUGAUUUUCUAUCUAUACAUAAGAAAUCUGUAUAUUAUAACAAACACAAAAGCAUAGACAUUGUAAAGCUGUUCCAAAAUUGUUUCAUUUUCUCUAUUUCCAUAUCUCUUAACCUCAUUAUCUCCAAUUACUUAAUUUUCCCAACUCUCAUAACACCAAUAUCAUGGUUCCCCUUCAUUGCUCGGUGGCAGGCUGAUCAAUCGGGAACAAUAGCCGAGAUAAUAGCGGAGGAUGGGAAACCAGUCAGCGUAGACACGGUAUCGUUUCUCUCUUUCUCUCUUUAUGUUUAUCUACAAAAUAACAUGAUUCAGUUCUCUAACUUCAAUACUUGUGCCCCAUGCAGCCUCUUUUUGUAAUAGUUCCAUGAGUACCAGAAGAGACAUUACUUGGAAGUUGAUGAGCCUUUGUUGGAUAACAUGAAUAUGUUGAUUUAGAUUUUGUGUUGUUUAGAAAUUUCAUGAGUGAUAAUGGUUGUGUCAUUUUAAGACAUAAAAGUCCUAAGUAUAUGAAAAUGAAUAUUGGAAUUUUUAACUUCAAUCAGUUUUCAUAUCUGUAGUACCAAAAUUUUCUAUAUUGUUGGUUGUUAUGUUAUUACUGUAAUUUGUUUUAGAUAAAACAAUCUUGUCCCUUUCAUGAAAUGCUAGAUAAAGUGUGCCAUUUUCCAAGCUCCUUGGUUUAAAUUCCUUGACACCAUUGUAUUUUUUUGUACUAUCAAGGGUAUUUCAUCAGGUAAGGAAUUAAUCAUUUUCGGGAUGCGUGACUAUCCUUAUCAGGAAUUGAACUAUUGACUUUUUGGUCAUCUUGAGAAUAUAGUGAGGUCUUACACUAUUAAACUAAUACUUUAUUGGUUGACACCAUUGUAUUUGAAACACAGUGAAUCACAUUUUUUGAUCAUUAAGCUAAAUAUAAUACAACUGUAAUUUAAAACAUUUCUAAAAUUGUUGAGAAUAAAAAGCUUACAAGUAGGGUUAGUGCAUAUAUCCGUUUCAGUCAAUAAUAACAUGAAGUACUCAAUACUAAGAUCAGUCUAUUGGGUAAUAGAACACACAUUAUGAUGAAAGUGUCAACUUUCAAGCUUGAACAAUGCGCGAAUUAACUAAAUGAUUUUUUUAAAUAUAAUAGGAGGUGGAAAUGAGUCGAACCGAAGUUGACUUAGCUCAGUUCGAUUAGAAAGACUUGAGUCGAGUUUAAUGCAUAUGAUUUUUCAGCUUAAGAUUAACUCAAUAGUUCAAAAACUUUCAAACGGAUUAUAAAGAUGGCAAAAUGGGCCCGCAAAAAUUUAAGCAGGAGCGGACAUGACUGCGUUGACUUAACGGAUAAAAUGGCAUGUCCUGCCCGUCUUAAAACAGGCUAACAAACAUGCAGGCAGCCCACGAGCAUUGAUGAAUAAUUUUAAAAUAAAAAAAAGUUUGUAUAUGGUGUCUGAUUCACCGAAUAAGUAAUAAAUGUUUGUCAAAGGAUUUGCAGCUAUACCCUUUCCCUGGUAAUUUAAUUGUCCCAUUGUUGUUAUUGUUGUCUCCUGCAGUGCCUUAACAGAAAGCAAUUUUCCGUCGGAAAGCUUCAAGCAAAACUCAAUGAGGUCAGUUCACAUCGACUUUUACUUUGAACGAAAACUAUUAUCCUGCUGUUCAAAUGUGUUCUCUUCUUCCUGAGAUUUUGUACAUCAUAGGCUGAUACUGUUGAAAAUUCAAAAUCUGCACCUGUACUCAAUGGACCUACUGUCCCUUCAUCAAACGAGGAAGAACAUAAUGGGAAACUCGCUGAUGGUACUGCUG